GUAGUACUCCCUCCGUCCGGAAAUACUUGUCAUUAAAAUGAAUAAAAGGGGAUGUAUCUGGAUGUAUUUUAGUUCUAGAUACAUCUCUUUUUAUCCAUUUUGAUGACAGGUAUUUUCGGACGGAGGGAGUAGUAA
rnacentral:pre_miRNA from 1 species